rnacentral:lncRNA from 1 species
GCACUAGGGGAUUAACCCCGGCCAUGGCCUUGUGCACGCUAGGCAAGUGCUCAACCACGGAGCUCCACCUCCAGCCCUUUCAAUGAACUUUUAAAAUUCACAUUUUAAAGUGUUCAAGAUUUUGAGAAGAGACCAUUCAAGGGGAAAAAACAAUAAUAUUCCCAUCAAUAGAUGAUGCCAGGGCACCAGGAAACAAACAAACAAAAAUAGACAAAUUGGAUUAUACCAAACUAAAAAAUCCCUCUGCAUCGCAAAGGAAACAAUCAACAGAAUAAAGACACAAUGGGAGAAGGCAUUUGCAAACUAUUCACCCAACAAGGGAUUAUUAUACAGAUUAUAUAAAGGAACUCAAAUAACUCAAGAGAAAAAAAAUAAGAUGAAGAAAAAGAAAAAAAAAUGCAAUUAAAAAAUUUGGAAGUGAUAUGAAUAGAUAUUUCUCAAAAAAAGACAUACAAAUGAACAAGUAUAUGAAAAAACGCUCGACAUCAUUAAUCACCAGGGAAAUUAAAUGAAAACCACAAUGAGAUACUAUCUCACCCCAGUUAGAAUGGUUGUUAUAAAAGGCAAAAAAAAAAAAAUACUAAAUGCUGGCAAGGAUGUAGAGAAAGGAGAACUUCUAUGGACUGUUUGGAAUAUAAAAUUAGUAACCCAUAUGGGAACCAAUAUGGAGGUUUCUCGAGAAACUGAAAGCACAGCGAUCUCAUGAUCCAGCAAUCCCACUAGGGGACGCCUACACCCUAAGGAAAGGAAAUUGGCGUGUCAGAGAGUGACCUGGGCCACCAUGUUUAUUGUGGCACCAAGCAGACCAGCCAAGUGUAGGGUUUGACUUGAAGUGCUCCCCAAAGCUCAUGUGUUGAAGGCUUGGUCCCCAGAGCAGCAGAGUUCAGAGGUGGGCCCUUGGGGAGGUGAUGGCCCCAGGAGGGCUCUAAGAUCAUCAACGGGUUAACCCACUGAUGGAUUCACACCUUGAUGGGCUAUUAUGAGGUCAAGGUCAUGGAAACUUAAGGACAGGUCUAGUUGGAGGAAGCAGGCCAUUAGGGCUGUGUCCUUGAAGGGUAUAUUUUGUCCCCAGGCCCUUCCUCUCACUCUCUGCUUCCCAGCUGCAAAGAGGUGAGCAGUUUGGUUCCACCCCACUCUCCCAAGGGCCAUGAUGUUCUGCCUUGUCCCAGGCUCACAGGGAUGGGGCCAAGUGACCUCAGAAACCAUGAGCCAAAAUAAAUCUUUCCCUCCUUUGUUUUC